rnacentral:lncRNA from 1 species
GUAAGUCGUUUGAUUAAGGUGUACACUGCUCCUCCAGGUGACUCCAGAGGUGGCUGAGGGAUCUCCCAGAGGCCACACAGCUCUGGGUCGGGCACUGGGAAUGACCCGUCCCCUGCUCACUGCUCCCUUCAUGUGACAGUGACCUGGCCUGAAAAACGGAGUAAAAACCUGAAGCAAUUUUGCAUUUGGCAGAAUAAAGCCGUGAUACUAAUGAAGACAUGCCAAAAGGAGAGAAAUGGGAUGGAAAAACAAGAAUAAGAACAGAUGAUGUCCAAUUAUAUGUACAAUACCCCAUGCACACCGAAAUAAGUUACUGUAUGUUAAGGUGAACACCUAGAGAAGAUUUCCCAUGGAGCGUGCGACCACCCUGUGGAGCACCAGCAGGCAAACCUGAGCAAACCCCACUCUCAUCACAAACCCAUCUGCACAACACAACCAUAGUGUAAGUGACAGCCACUAGUUCGUGCUGAGAAAGCCCCUACAGCAAGAAACGCUCCCCUUUGGGAUGGCUCUUGUGAGGAUUUAAUAUUUUUAAGUCCCUUGACUAAGUGCCGAUUCAUCAAUGCAUUAGAAACAGAACAUUAAUCUGUUCCUCCUGCCCGUGCCUUAAUUGUAACAUUUUCCUUUUAAUGAGGUGAAGCAGGAAAAUGGGAAGGUAAUUGUGCCACCACUGAUGGAAGGUUUCCUUUAUAAUCUUAAAACUAUCAGUGACAUGAGGCUUGUAUUAUUUCUCUUCAGCAAGGGGCCUUCCCCCGACGGAGGUAUUUGAGCAGGAGAGGAAGCGCUGACCCCACAGGGGAGGUGGGUCUACAUCGCACCUGCCCCUUGGGGUAGGCAUCACUGAAAUGAUGGAGGGAGAUGCCCCCCCUGAUGAUGGGGCAGUGAGCACUGGCUGCUGCACAGCAAUGCAAAAGCAGGCCAUCUCUACCAAGUGGCCUCGCUUCCACCUCCCACAAGGCUCCUUCAUUCCUGCCCACCACCAGGUAGGCCCAGUGAGCCACGCCUGGAAACUUGCCUCACGCUUUUUCAGAACUUUAUUCGUCUAAAACAAAAUAUUUUGGCCUAGAAACUUCAAAUGUGAUUUAGUGCCUUGCCCGUAGCAAGGAGUGUUGCCCCUGGAGAGACUGGGGCAUCUUCCAUUAUUAAGGACAGGAUCCGCGCGCACGGUGAGGCCUGCGUGGCAGAUGUGUGCAUCGGAAAGUGCAGCUCAGGGCCUGACUCCGUAAUUGUUGUAAUUAUGCUGGGGCCCUGAGCACUGCUUGGAGCACUGCUGGUCGUCCUGUGUUGACUGCGCUGGUGUGACAUCUGUAGUGGAGACCUUGGGGAGCCCAGACGAGCGGAAUCGCUGAAGGCACAGAGGAAGUGUGCUGAAAGCCCUCUACAGGCACAUCUGGGGAGGUUUUGUCCCAAAAAGGGAUGAGAAUUUAAACUAGCAGAAAGCUGCAACAAAUUACGAGGUCAGAAACUCGUGGUUUUAGAAAAUUUCUUUCAGGUUGCCGUGUAUUCUCAGGUUUGCUGGAGCGUUGGUCAGAGGUCCUGAUGAGGGGGUCUUCUUCUGGGGAUCCGCUGCCCCACAGCGGGACCGCCUCUUCCCGGCACACCGUGGGUCCCAAGGACACACCAAAGCCUUCAGCUGUCAAGGAGUCCCCUGGCAGAGGAGGGUGUCCCAGAUUCAGCGCCGAGAUUAUCUCAAAGCCAUAGGAAAAGUCUGCAGGAAGGCAGCCGCCAGGGUGUCUCUGCAGAGCGGCCUUCUCCUCCACCCCCCUCUCGGCAAAAUGUCUUAACAAGCUCAAACCUUACUUUGUAUUAAAUCAAAGUCUGAGCACUACGCGAGGGCUCAGGAAAACAUGAUUUAACUGGUGCCUUGCCCAUUCACAUCAGAUUAAGUCUAUAGAGGUAAUUUACUGCAUAUAGAAACUGGAAGGCAGAGGGCAGCUCAUUAAUGUCUAGGAUUAUUAUUAUUAUUGUACUAAAACAGAAGAUCUUUUUCAUUUUAUUUCUGUUACCAGCGAAUGCAAAUUUGUGAUACAAAUAAGAAAACCCGCC